CCACGUAACACAGGUAUCCCCAAGCAUAACACACCAACUAGACAUACAACGGCGAGUGUCCAGACUUCAAGCAUGAUCAUCAUCGACAAAGGCGGUGAUAUCACAAGAUCCUGUAGAAGGAAGAAGAAUCCGAAUGGUCAGAGUACCAUGCAAGUCGCUGAUGAACGGAUUUUACUCGUUUAAAAAUAAACCUAAUUACCUAAGUAAUCAGGGUCAUAUUUUCCUGAGGUCUGAAUGUCGUGUCUACUCAAAGUUAUAAAAAAAAUCUAAUCAAUUAAGUAGGUUUUGUGGGGUAGGUUCGAAAAUCUCUAAAACUAUCAAUUAAACAAAAUAUGCGAAUAACCGAGAAAACAUAGGUUGCAAGACUGCACAAAUAAUGAUGGAGAAACGCUAAUGGAUAAAAUUUCGUAGAGUUUGAAUCCACCUAAGCUAUCCAGACAAAUAAGUGAUAUCCAAUUAACUCAAUUUAUGCCAAACAAGUUGUAUAGAAUUUACCGCCGCAAUCCUUCUCUACUUGGGUCACGCCUUUUGGAUCUGCUAACCUACUACCAUCCUACUAUCCUAGUCCGCUCUCUCGAGACAAAUAUUUGAAACCGGUACGGCUAUAAAUCAAAGAAGAAUUGCUCUCAUGACGGAGUAGUUUAUUCGCUCCCGGAUGAGGGUUACCGCCUAACCUAAUUGAUUAAUUUUGGUGUUCUAAGAUAAACAAGCUCUUUCGAGAUGAUGCAAAUUUAAAAAUAUCCUACUCAAGAAGGCCACAUAAGAACACGAACCCGAUCGAAAUCAAUCAUAAAUUGAAAUAAAACACACUUGCAUAAAUCGAAAUAAUCAAAAUAUCAUUAGUUCAUAAGGAAUCACUUAGGGUUCAUCUAAUCUAAGCAAGAAGGAGUUUAGCUACUCAUAACCAUGAAGAACAAAUCGAAAUCAACAAAAGAAGACAUUGAAAUCAGAUUUACAAGAAGAAAUCUCAGAAACCGAAUUUCGCCGAGUUCCACGUACCAAAGUUUUAGGAAAUUGAACAAGCUUUCCAACGGAACCGGCCUAGCAUCAAUCAAACUUCUUAGCUAAGAGAUAUGUGCAAAAUACGAAUCUACAAAGUUUUUCGACACAGUCAAGAUCCAAGCUCCUUGAAGAUGUCAAAAUGCUUCUCAUUGCUUGUCCUAGAUCAUUCAUACAUGUCGUAUCACUCCAAUUAAUGCCUUAAUGGCGUCAUGUACGUGAAAUCUGUAAAAACACUCCAAAACUACGUCAUAUGGACCCGACCGGAUCUGAGUCACUAAAUUGAGAUAAAGGCUUAAAAUGCAUAAAACAACCGAAACUUCUACCUAAAGAAAUCUAAUUAUGCAUGAAAUAUCACUUAAUGAGGUCGAUAAAUGCGACAAAUCUAGCGUCAUCAGUAGCGCAGGAUGCGAUGCAUGGAUGCCAAAUGAGAACUAUGAGGAGCUGAAAUAAACUGGCUCACCUCCUGGACAGCAUAAGAUAUAUCCGGCCGAGUAGAAAUAAGAUAAAUCAAACGUCCCACUAACUGCCGAUAUAAUCAAGGAUCAUCAAGAGGAGUACCAUCGUCAGGACUAAGCUUAAGAUUAAGCUGAAUGGGUGUUGAAACGGGCGUGCACUCCGAGAAAUCAGCCAUGUCAAGAAGGUCGCAUAUAUAUUUAUGCUGAGACACAAAUAUACGAGUUGGCUGUCGAAGAAUUUCAAGACCCAAGAAAUAUGAGAGAUGGCAUCAGAUCCUUACGCAGGGAAUGUGAAGUAAGAACAUUCUUCACCUCUAUAAUACCAACUGAAUCAUUCCUAGUGAGCACCAUAUCUUCCACAUAAAGGGGCAACACAGUCAGAAACAGAGAGGAUUGAUAGAGAAAAAGAUAAGGAUAUUGAGCAGUCUGAACAAAACCAUGCUAAAAUAGAACAGUAGUAAAUUUAUCAUAACUGCCCAUAUCCCCAAUUAUGGAUUGGAGUUUGAAAUUGCCGACUACAUGUGAGUAAUGGCGCCAUCUAGGGUUGGAAACGAAGGGGUAUCGAGGAGUAGAAUAGCAGAUAAUCUGAUUGCUGGAGUCUGGAGAUAGGACUGGAGUUAGGCUUGGCUUGAAUGAUUGAAUCGAGAUUGUGAAGUGGAGGAUUGAAUCGAGACGAGGAUUGAAUGUGAUUUGGGAAUUCGAUGAGUGGACUGGAGGAGGAUUCAAAGGGGUAUCUCAGUGUGAGUUUAUGACUGUGGUUGUUAGAGAGUAGAAACUUAGACGACUUAGGAUUCAUCGAAGCAAUUAACCUUGGAAUAUAGUUUCUCGAGAUGAGUCCAAAUUUGCACAGUAGAUGAGACAGUUCGAAGAGUUAGAGCAAUUCGCGGUUGUACCCAGUUUAUAAUCCAGCUAACGACCUUUGCGUUGUUGGUCUUCCAAAUUUUGAGAUUCUUUUGAAAUGUUGCGAGUUCCUAUGCACUCUUAGUCUCGGUAGCCAUCUUAGCAGCAUCAUGAGUAGAUGAAGUGGAUAUAGGGGUUGGAGCUUGUGGUUCAGCAGCCGUUCUGUCAAGAUUAGAAAUCAGUCCCUUUCCGGCCACAAAAUACAAAAAAAAUUAACUCCUAAAUUGCAUAGUCGUUCUUCCCAUUGAACCUGGCAAACAAUGAUUACGAUGAACCAGGCUUCGACACCAUGAUAUCAUAUGAGAAGAAUGAAUCGAAAGAUGAAAGAUACACAAUGUAACGUGGUUCCCCAAUAGUGUGUUGAGUACGUCCACAGACCAAAGGGAGCCGAUCUUAUUAUCGAAGAGGAGCCAAAUACGAUAGAUACAAGAGAUCUUACUAUGCACUGAAUAUAUAGCAUAGCUGAACCAACCCUACACGCCUACACUCUUUGGCUCAUAAGACAGCCAAACACGGCAGCCCAACCGUGACAAAAAAAAUGCCCCAAACAAAAGUAGACCCAAACCCAGACUACAAUAGACCCAAAAUACUGGUACAUUAACACUAUGAGGUUUUAUUUCUAUUAGCAUAUAAUAAAAACAUCAACGUUCAAUACAUCUCUCGUAAAAGUAAAUAAAUUAGCUCAUCAAAUAGCAAGUUAUUCUUUACAAUUUCUACCACAUUCCUCACAACUUAGCAAUCUCACCCUCCUGACAAUCAACAAAAUGUUCUCUUCGUAACAUCAACCUGACAUGUAAAUCCUAACCUGUAGGUUUUGUAUUUUUUAGCCCCCCCCUUUCUUCUCACCACUCAUUUUCCUUUAUUUUUUUAUAUUUUAGAAUAUUAGGAUGUAUAGUUGCGCUAUCUUUUCUCCUCUAUGGCUUGGGGUUGAUUUGACAAAAACUAUUUGGUUUGGCUGCAUAGUAAUUGGCGGCUGCAGUUCCAGAAAAUACAAGAGUCAAGUGUCACAAUGAGUUCAGAUAGCUGGGAGUCUGAGAAGGUGAUUAGAUGAGAGAGAGAAAGGAUCAGGAGUUCCCAUAUUCUUUGAGACACAACAUGAGGGAAGGCCUUGUUGUAGAGGUUGAUCGAGAGACCACAAUGAGCACCGUGUACCAAGCUCGGAAUCACCACAUCAUCGAGGAACUAUGGAGAGGAUGCAUGUACGUAACAUCCCGUCCCUAAAUCUAUUAUAGUUGAACCACUAGUUCAACAUAUAUAACGACUAAUUAGGAUUACGAUGCAACACACAAGUCAAACCGAGAAAUUAAAGUUAAUGAUUAGAACUCUACAAAUAUUAUAUAUUCAUCAAUAUUAAAAUGAGAGUUACUAUUGCAUCGAGAAGGUAUGAUCCCAUCCAACCAAUCCUAUGUAAGCGUUAUGUCUAACAAAAAAUGUAAGGCUUAUAUUUACUCCAUAAACUCUAUAUUCUAUGAAAGUUACUAUUGCAUCAAAAAUUUAUGAUCCCCUCCAAUCAACCAUAUGAAAACGUUAUGUGUAACAAAAAAUAUAAGGUUUAUAUUUACAUAUUUACUCCAUAAAUUUAAUUUUUUGUUAUUUUAUAAAUUCAUAUUCCCUUCAAUUUAAAAUAUGCUUUAGUUUCUAAUUAAAUUAUAUAAUAUCUCAACUUUCUUAACAUGUUACUCAUUGAAUCCAAAUUGUGGUAUCUCCGGCAACUUAUCUCACAAUUAUAUUUGCUAAUGAACAAUAGUAACUCAAUAAUGUAUAUAUUCAAUUUUCAGUGGUUGCAUAUGUUAUCAGAUUUUAUAUAUGAAUUUCUUUAUUAUUUGGUCGGAUUCAUUUUUAUAUUUGUCACACUAGAACUAUAUUAUUUUCUGCGAUGGAGCGCGAGCUAUUUCUAAUUAUGAUUAUAAAUGAAAUCAUUAAACUUUUACAUAAUUGGGGAGAUUACACACUUUGUAAUUACAUAUUCCAUUAUUGAAACAUAAGCUCGUGAGAGAGAGUGAAACGCUCCCAACUUUGGAGUAUUGUUUCAUUACAUCUUCCCUGAAGCUCGUCGGAGGAGGAGCUUUCUUUGUAGGUGCGCUCCUCUGGAGCUCCACUCGUGUUCGGUCUUCGCCGAUGGAUCUCUAAGAUCCCUGGGUUUUCCAUUCGCCUAGCUUUUGAUUUGAUUUUCCUGCGAUUUACUGGUUUUCUGAUUCUAUGACUGAUCCUUCGUCACUAAAUCGUCGGCGGGCCUGAGUGGUGGUGAGGCGAAGAAAUCUUGGGCAUCGAUUGUUGGAACGUGUGGGGCAGAUCAGAAAUUCGUUGAGGUGUCAGACUCAGCUUUUUUGGACGGAGCUCUUAUGAUUCCGAAGGAAAUUGCUGAUAUGGGUGUGAAAAGCUUAAGAUCGGAGAUUAUUGGGUAGUUUAUGGGGAAUCCGCCACUGAUGAGGGUUAUUGCGUCUAUGAUAAACAAACUUUGGGGAUACGAAGGGGAGGUAGUCCUAUCCGUUCUAUCUCCAUGCUUCUUUCUAAUUGAAUGUCCUUUGUGAAUGGGUAUUAGGGCGUGCUUGGUAUAUUCAUCACUCUGUUAUGAUCUCGCGUAAGUGAAAUCCAGGGAUUACUCCUUUAGAUAUUGAAGUUAAGGAGGUGCCGAAGUGGAAUUCUCUCUGGAAUGUUCCUCCACAACACAUUAAUGCUGCUAUUGAAUGGAUGGUCGGCAGAAUUGGUACACCUAUUAACAAGUUUGUGAGGAUAGGGCUUAUAGUUAAGGUGUGUAUUCUUAUGAGUGAAGAGAAGGAAUGUCCUCUAAAUGUAUCAGUCUGGUUGAAUGGAGAGUGAAUGGUGAUUGAAAUUAAAACACCAUUGGUAGAGUUUGCUUAUAAUAACUCUUACCAUAGUAGUCUGGGUAUAGCUCCGUAUGAGGCACUGUACGGACGAAAGUGUAGAACUCCAUUGUGUUGGGAUGAAGAGGGAGAAAGACAAAUAACUGGGCCAGAGUUAGUUCAGGAAACAGCUGAUAAGGUGAAAGUGAUUCGGGAAAAACUCAGAGUGGGUCAGGAUCGUCAGAAGCAGUAUGCAGAUCGUCGAACUCAUGAGAUCAGUUAUGAGGUCGGGGAAAAGGUUUUUCUUAAGGUAUCUCUUUGGAAAGGUCUAAUGCGAUUUGGGAGAAAAGGAAAGCUAGCUCCGAGGUAUAUGGGACCUUAUGACAUUAUAGGUAAAGUAGGACCAGUUGCUUAUACCCUUGCCUUACCAACUGAACUUGAUAGAAUCCAUAACGUGUUUCAUGUGAGUCUGCUUAAAAAGUAUCAUGUGGAUCCAUCUCAUAUUGUCCAACCGGAGGAGGUAGAGUUGGAGGAAGAUUUAUCGUAUCAGGAAGUGCCAGUUCAGAUUGUAGAUUCGCAAGUUCGAUCCUUGCGAAAUAAGCAGAUCCCUAUGUUGAAAGUGGUAUGGAGAAAUCAGGAGAAUGAGUCUGCUACAUGGGAGACGGAAGCAAGUAUGCGGGAGAAGUACCCUGAGCUAGUAGAGGCUUACUUAUCAGGUUAACUUAUUACUAGUUUCUUCAUUGAUAUGNNNNNNNNNNNNNNNNNNNNNNNNNNNNNNNNNNNNNNNNNNNNNNNNNNNNNNNNNNNNNNNNNNNNNNNNNNNNNNNNNNNNNNNNNNNNNNNNNNNNNNNNNNNNNNNNNNNNNNNNNNNNNNNNNNNNNNNNNNNNNNNNNNNNNNNNNNNNNNNNNNNNNNNNNNNNNNNNNNNNNNNNNNNNNNNNNNNNNNNNNNNNNNNNNNNNNNNNNNNNNNNNNNNNNNNNNNNNNNNNNNNNNNNNNNNNNNNNNNNNNNNNNNNNNNNNNNNNNNNNNNNNNNUGAAAGAGUAUUAAAGGGGGCAUACACCCAGUUAAUUAAAGACAAAAAUACCCCGUAGCUUAUAGCCUUGACACUUAAGAGAAAUAUAGCACGGGUACUCACUUCGUAUCAUCAAAGAUCUUUGGAAUUACGUUAUCGACUCAGAAGCUUAUAUUGGUAUUCUUAAGAAUUAUUUCUGAUGAGGGUCUCCUGCGUAUCCGACCGGGUUAGACAUUCCAUUAUGAGUUUAUUAUUAUUAAGGCUAUAUGCAUGAUAGGGUAAUGCCCGUUUAAUCUUAAGAUUUUAUAUGCUUCUUUAUCAUCUUUAUUACUUAAUAUGAUACAUGUUCUGUUACUUUGCUGAUAUAUCUGAUUUAGUAUAUGUGUUAAUAUGAGCAGUAGUUGUUGCUGAUUAUUGAAUAAAUCUGGUAAUUGAUUGAUCACCUAGUUAGGGCCCGUAUGCUGGCGAUUGUGCUUAUUGCACUUCUGUUACGCGAUGGGCCUUGGUACCCGCCACAACUAACUAUUGUCGUGGGCUUUGAUAAGCGCCACACUAACUCUACGUGGGCCAUUUUAGUGCCACUAACUCUACGUGGGUCGUCAGCAUAUGUGAGCCGGAAUCCCAAAUAAAAUAUGGAUAUAAAUUAGAUUAUAGAAAUAGCCUUAUGUGUUAUAUUUUGUGUACCUCCUAUAUGAAUAUUUGUACCAUAUAGUGAUUAGGACGUAGAUCCUCACUUAGUGAUCAGCACUGACCCUUACUUUCCAUUUCAGAGCGACAGUAGGCUUUACUAGGUCACACACUGCAAAAUGGUAUCAUCGAGCUCCGGGGUCGGUCAUCAUGGUGACGACGCCAGGUAGAUAUCGAAGAUUGUGUCUUGAUCCUCGUUUUGUAUUUAAAGUUUAUUUGAGACUCUUACUUCCAUCAUGUGCAUAUGUUAUGAGUGGUUAUGUACUAGUACAAUGUGAGAUAUGGUUUUGUAAAAUGUAGUGGCCGAGAGGGCAAGUAUAUGGUUACUCUGGUUCGAGCCUGUGAAUCUCGAGACUUCUGUUCUAUAUGUAUAUGCGUCCUGUUGGACUUCUGGUAUAGUGUAUGAUAUUGUGUAAAGUCAAUAAGUCAUAUAUGACAUCUUGAGCAGUUUUUGUAUUGACGAAUUAAUUAUAUGAGUACAUAUAAGCACAAUCCUAGAUUAUGAUGAAGGAAUUAAUCGGAAUUAAUCGGAUGGGUGUAAACAUUAAAUUAUGUAUACGGUAUAAGGAGCGUAGCACCCUAUUAUUGCUUCGCUGUUUUAUUUUAAAACGAACAUGUUAGUAGUGUGGGUGUUACAUUUUCCACUUGGAAUUGGUUUACAAACUGAACAUCCUGGUUAUUCUGGCGGAGUAGUAUAUAACUAAACAUCUUGAAGCAUUAUGAGCAGUUUAUGCUUGUACAGGUUACUGGUUCAUGUCCUUUUCAAAUUUAUGUGGUUUAUGAGGCUAAUAAAGUGGAUGAAAGGAAGAGAAUGUAUGAUAUGUUAAGAGGCCAGCUUCUUGCUAAUGUUCCUAUGGUUGGUUUAGGGGAUUUUAAUGCAAUUACAUCGCCCUUAGAAGUGUUAAACUCAGUUGGUAUUACUAAGAGUAUGAUGGAAUUUAAUGACUGGAUUGCUAUUAAUGAGUUGAUGGAUCAUCAGGUUGUUGGACCGUUCUUCUCUUGGCAUAACAAUAGAACUGAUGACCCUAUUGCAAGAAGGAUUAACAUAUGCAUGGUGGAUUUGGUUUGGAUCUCUCAAUUCCCUCAAAGUAUGGUGCAGAUGCUUGAGUCGGGGGUGUCAAAUCAUUGUGGCAUAUUGUUUGAAACAAAAGUUAUGGUUGGUUCCAUUCCUAAAGCGUUUAAAUUCUUUAAUUUUUAGGUUGAUUGGUCUGGAUAUUAGGAAAAUGUGGCUAGCGCUUGGGAUAAAUCAGAUGCACUGACUCAUCGAGCAGGGUUUGAGAAAAUUUAUGCUAGACUUCGUAAUGUCAGAGGUAGCUUGCGUUGGUUUAACAAACAAACGUGUUACUGAAGCUGAACAAAGUAUGAAGUAUCACCAAGCUGAGGCUAUGAAUAAUCCCGAUCACCUCUAUGUUGCUAAAGAAAAAGAGAGUUGUGGUAGCUGGAUGAAAUUAAAGAAUUCAGAGGAGAGUUUUCUUGCUCAUAAGGCAAAAGAGAACUGGUUGAAAUUGGGAGAUUCAAAUACGAGAAUCUUUCAUAACUCUGUUAAGAUCAAGCAAGCUAAGAAGUAGAUUAUUCAGAGUGAAGACUCCAUGGGAAGAAUGGUUAAUGGAGUUAAUGAUAUUGCAGAGGUUAUUGUUAACUACUACAUGGAUUUGCUGGGAAAUACUAAUAAUGAAGUAGAGCAUUGCUCCAAGGAGCAGCUUACUCCUCUCCUUAUCAAGAAGAGGAGGAGAUCGGGAAAGGGCUUUUCUCAAUUCCUGAUGGCAAAAGUCCCAAACUUGAUGGAUUUUCAGCUCUUUUUUUCAAGAAUGCUUGGGAUAUAGUUGGGCCUGAAAUUGUUGAAGUAGUUAAAAAGUUCUUUGAUUCGAAGAAGAUUCCAAGGGUGGUAACUCUUCACUUCUAGCAUUGGUUCCUAAAAAGAUUAACGCAACUAAUAUUUAUGAUUAUAGGCCUAUUUCUUGCUGUAAUGUCCUUUACAAAAUCAUUGCCAAAGUUCUUACAAAUAGAAUGGUGAGCUGCCUACCCGUGUAUGAUUAGCAACUCUCAAUCUACAUUUGUGAAGGGGAGAACAAUUAGAGACAAUAUCCUACAUGCGCAUGAGUUAGUAUGUUCUUAUCAUCUCAGUCACAUUUCUCCUCAUUGUGCUUUAAAAGUUGACUUCAUUAAAGCGUUUGAUUCGGUUGACAUUACUUACUUGAUCACUGCUCUGAGAGCUAUGGAGUUCCCUGAGAAGUUUGUUGGUUGGAUUAAUGGAUGCAUUACCACAAUUAUGAUUAGUAUUGGUAUUAAUGGAGGUAUGAUUGGUUACUUUGAGGGGGGGGGGGGGGGGUUGGGGGAGGGGGGGCCCCUUCGUCCCAAUCUUUUGGUUUUACCGUUGUUGACUUCAUUAAAGCGUUUGAUUCGGUUGACAUUACUUACUUGAUCACUGCUCUGAGAGCUAUGGAGUUCCCUGAGAAGUUUGUUGGUUGGAUUAAUGGAUGCAUUACCACAAUUAUGAUUAGUAUUGGUAUUAAUGGAGGUAUGAUUGGUUACUUUGAGGGGGGGGGGGAAGGUUUGAGGCAGGGGGAUCCCUUGUUCCCAACAUUGUUUGUUAUUGCUAUGGAGUCCCUUCACUUCUUAUGUUGCAGGCUGCUCAACAGGGGUCAAUUCCAUUUCACCCCAAGUGUAAAAGGCUCAAUAUCACUCGUCUAUGCUUUGCAGAUGACUUACUUGUUUUUACCAAUGGCUCUGUGAAUGGAGUUAUGGGAAUUCAAGCUGUCUCGAACCGUUUCUAUAGGAUAUUAGGCCUCCAGCUUAAACCGGAAAAAAUUGAGAUUUUCUUCUCACGAACACUUAGUCCUCAGGUUUGUGAUGAUGCUAUUAUGGCUUUAGGUUUUAGAGAGGGCAAGCUUCCUAUCGGAUAUCUUGGAAUCCCUUUAAUCUUUGGUAAGCUCUCAACUAAGGAUUGUGAUAUAGUUGUGGAAAAGAUCACAACCAAAAUAAAGGGGUGGAGAGUUAGGCUUCUUAGUUAUGCAGGUAGACUACAAUUGGUUAACUUUGUGUUAUCUUCUAUGAGCCAGUAUUGGUUGUCUAUCUUCCUGUUACCAAAUUCCAUUAUUUGUCCAAUUGAGAAAUUUUGUGAUGGGGGUAAGAAGAAAGAAAAAUUUGCUUGGAAAUCAGUGGCAAAACAGAAGAAGGAAGGUGGACUUGGUAUUCGUGAUCUCAGGGCCUGGAAUCUCGCUUGCAUCACUCGGAAUAUUUGAAGCAUUCUCCUUAAGUCCGACUCUCUAUGAAUUGCUUGGAUUGAUAGUUACAGACUUAAAGGUGGGUCAGUGCUGCUCAGUAAAGGGCAGCCUUACCACUCUUGGAUUUGGAGAAGAAUUCUUAAGACCAGACACUCUGCAACUCAAUUCAUUACUUUUGAUUCUGAUGGUGCUCCUCUUUGGCAAGGUAACUUGAUGCUUAAGUUCUCGGUCUCAACUGUCUGGGAAACAUUUAGGGCUCGUGGUCCUAUUUUUGUUUGGUUUGACUUCGUCUGGAGAGUGCCUCGUAUUAAUAAGCAUUGCUUCAUUCUUUGGUUGGCAAUGCAAAGUCGUCUUACUACAAAAGUGUGGAUGGAUAGCUGGGGGCUUAGUAUUGAUGUUUCCAGCAUGCUUUGUCACAAUGGAGUUGAUUCCAUUGAGCAUUUAUUCCAAGGUUUCUCCUUCUUGAAAGAGAUCCGGCGAUACUGUUUUGGAAACUCUGCUGGCUCAGCGGGGAGUUGGGAGGAAGAAAUUAAGAUUCUGUCUUAGCAUAAUAGAGAUAGUUUGAAUGAUGGACUAUUUAGACUUAAGCGGAGAGCCUUGAUUUGGAAUGUUUGGUAUGAGAGGUGUCUUUGUAAUGCAGGGGAGAGUGCAACCUCAGCCUAUAUAGCCUUGCUCGCUACCCGAUAAUCUCGGGUUUCGGGUGUACCCGUACCGUCAACGGGUCAUUUUGACCAUGUAAUUUCAGCCCGUGUUGGGUGGGUUUCGGGUUUGCCUUCCUUAUAUGCCAAUCGGUCUGCUUGUGGGGUUGAUUUUUGCAAGUAUGCCUAAAUGCGGAGUUUUUGGUAUCUCUUCACUUACUAUACAAGUGGCCUCUACAACAAAGCGGAAGAUCAUAUCAUAUCUCAUCUUCUCCAAAAUCCAUAAUAGGUCAUACUCUCUUAACUACCACCAGAGAACUCGAAGCUUCUGACGUUCAGUGUUCUGCCACAACAAGCUGAUGAAACCUCUAUCGUCAUUCCUCAGCAUGAGAGGAGGCUGAAACCCUCCGCUUCUCUUUCUCUUUUUUGUCUAUAGGUGUAGUCUUUCCAUUUGUGAUUAGGGUUCAGUUGAAGCUCUAUCGAUCUAGUAAUUCCAUUGUAACCUUCCCUCUGAUUAGUGCGAUUUCCUGGUUGAGUCUUCCCUCUCUGAGGCUCCGCUAAGUAGGAGAGUUAACUCCGAACAACGUUAACAAACUAUAUGUCUCUUUAUGUUUCUUGCUUGAUCUUCCUUUGUAUGUUUGAUAUGCGAGCGUCGGAGAGCCAGUGAGAUUUUGUUCUAUUGAUUCUGCUGCGAGUGAGACCGGAUCCGAUAUUAGAGAGUAAAGAAAGAGGAGAUUCAGUGCUAAUCACUGAGUAUCUCUAAAGGCAUUGCAUUAAAGAGUUAUAAAAACAAGCAAGAAGAACAACUCUUCAAAACUGAACAUAAUAAUAGGUGCUAAUAGUAGAGGAUAAAUGUGUUAGUGAAUAAUAUAAAUAUUAAUCAGCGGAACCCUCCAACACUUCGAGUUAUUGGGAUGCAACGGUUCUUGACAUGGUAUUCGAGCUUUAAAAGACCGAGAGGUCUCCGUUCUGAAUCUCAGUAGCCCCCAUUUCGUGCACAUGACUUACCACGUGAAGUUGUGAAAAUCUCAACACUUCUUAGAGCUUCUGUUUGAGGGGGGUGUGUUAGUGAAUAAUUUAAAUAUUAGGCAACAAACUCUAAAAUGCCACGACCUAUAGGCAUAUCACCAAAAAUGUCACCACAGUUUUUAUAUAAUUUCUACGUCACGACCUAUCAAAUACUUCAUAAAUAUGUCAUGUCAUUAGAUUUAUUUGUGUUCCAGCCCCAUGUGGAUUUGACGAUGUUAAAUGAGUCAGCAAAAAUGACUGUUUCACCCACCACGUAGGCAUAAAUCUAUCCGACUAAAUAAUUGAUAAUUUAAUUUUAAUUUUAAAACUCAAGUUUUUCAAAUUUAAUAUGCAUCGUCUAUUUCAUCUAAUUAACACCCAGCUCCUUCUUUUAAACUCAUAUUUAUCACCUACAACUAGAAGACGAUGACAGUAACACCACAAUCGUCUAUGACAGAUUGAACUAGAACCACCAUUGACAACGAGGUUAUGGUGGACGGGCAAAAACUCGAAGUAGGCCAUACUAGGGAUGAGGGUGACAGAGACAUCGGACGGUUUACAGAGCGGGUUCAAAUUGACACCAAAAUAGGAUCAGAGCUGUAAAUAUGUGACCUCCAUCUCUCGCUCGACUGUCAGCAUCAAUUUCCUUUCCCCUGCUGAUGUACUGGAGUUGUAUGUACUGUAACCAAACUAAUUAGAUGAAUUUCAGUUCAGUGUGUCAUUUAAAGUAAUGAAAAGUUAGUAAAUUAACUAAUCAAGCAACCUGGUGAGAAAUUCGGAGAUGGGGGAGAGAGCAUAUAGAGAUUGAAUUAGAGUCCAUAAUGGCAGAGGUUUUGUCUACGGUAUCAUCCCAGUGAAAGGCAAGCCCGUAAGUGGAUCCUCCGAUAGUCUCCAUCCACUAUGGAAAGACUUUGUUUGAUUCCAUCAGACAACCAUUCAAGCCCUACUUCAAUUCCACACCUCCCCCUUGUAUGCACCAUCGUCGAUCAUCCUGCCGCGAACAGACUCCACAAGCUGUAGGACACGAUUCUGGGAUCCCUGAUUUCGGUGCUGAUGCAGCACUACGUCCCUCGCCGUCAGCGGUUCCCGUUGGAGAGGGGACUGCCUCCGUGGUGGUGGCUGAUCGGGAACGAGAUCUGGUGGGAAGGAGAAGGAUCGAUGACGGAGCACGACCCAUGUUGUACCGGAAGCCACACGAUCUGAAGAAGGCUUGAAAGUUGAGCCUGAUGACGGCGGUGAUGAAGCACAUGGCGCCUGAUUUCUACCGAAUGCGACGGCGGCGGCGGCGGCAACGGUGGUGGAGUGAUUAGGGAAGCGAGAUGGCGGAAGAACAUUAGGGUUUCAAAGAAGAAAUAAGGUGUUAAACUAAAAUGGAUGGUACAGAUUGAAUUUGAUAAAAAUGUGUUUUAAAAUUAAAACUGAAUUAUUAAAUAUCCAGUCAGAUGGAUUUAUGCCUAUGGCAGGUGAAACUGUAAUUUUAACUGACUCAUUUAACGGCGUAAAGUUCAUGUGGGUUGUAAUACCGAAAAAUUUAAUGGCGGGAUAUGGAAGAUUAAGUAUUGGACAGGUCAUGACGAAGAAUAGAGUUGACAACUCGGUUUUGGUUAAUCGGUUAACCGACCGAAUCGGUUAAAAUUGGUUUAACCAAUAUUAGGUCAGUUGGUGAAAUAGUCUAUGUAUUCGUAAAAUCGGAUAAUCGGUUAAAAGUUGGUUAAAUGAAAUUAUCGUCAAAUCCUGAGUGAAAUUACCUCUAUUCAAUGAAAACUAUCCCAAUUUUGACAUUAAAAGUGUAGGUUAAAAUUAGUCGGUCGGUUAACCUACGGUUAUUUAACCACGACGGUCGGUUAAUUGUCGGUUAAUUAACUGUUGAAGUCGGUCAGUUAGUUAAAAAAGUUAACCAAUCUGAAUGUUCAUUUCAUUUUUUCCGAUAGGGUUGGACAUCUUGUAACGGUUAUUUAGGUAUACCCAUACCCGUCCCAAUUUUUUAGGGUUAUGGGUACCCAUAAUACUUGUUAUAUUCAAACAGGAUGGGAUAUGGAAUUAAAAAUUGACAUAUGGGAUACCCGUGGGUUACCCGCAAAUCCCAUUCGGUAUUUUGGGUUCCAGUAAUACCCAUUAAAUUAUUAGAAUAAUAUAAAUAAUUGCGCCCUUUAAUGAAGGUUGAAACAUGCCGAAAAGUCUAAUGGGAUUGAGAUUAGAGCUAAAAAUUUUGUAUAAUAUUAGACUAAUUUCAUUACUAAUGUAUAAUAUUAGACUAAUGUCAUUAGUAGUGUUGUAUAAUAUUAAAUUAAUGUCAUUAAUAGUAUUGUGUAAUAUUAUACUAAUUUAAGUGGUUGUGUUUUGAAUGUUUGAGCUUUAGAGUAGUAGAUAUUUAUAACUUAUUUUGUUAGGAUAUUUGUGGGUAAAAUGGAAACCGCUAUUUUCUAGUAUGGUAAUGGGUUUACCCAUACGGAUUUGGGACAUGGGAAUGAGUUUGAUUCCCAAACGGUAAUGGGUAUCCGAGUUAAACAGGAUGUGUACCCAAUCCCGUCCCGUUGUCCAGCCCAAUUUCCCGACCCUAAUAACCGAAUUAACAGACUCUAAGGCCUAACGAAUAAACCAUAUCGAAAUAGUGGUGAUAUUUUUUGCGAUAUGUCUAUAUGUCAUGACAUUUUAGAGUUUUUUAUCAGAAACUUUUCCAAAAUAUAUGAGUUAUUGAAAUAUAACGGUUUUUGAAAAAAUAUUUGAUAUUAGAAAGCAUAAAGGCAUGAUUAAAUGUGAUUAAUUUGGCCAGUCACCAAUGGGAAUUGGGCCACGGUUUGCAAUCAGUAAAUGCGAAGGGUUUAAGUGAGAAAGAGGAUGCGAGAUUGAUAAAAAACAAUUUUAGCCAUGAUUUAAUAAAAAAUUACUUAAACAGUCAAGUGGAAACGUAAAUUACGCGAUUUGUUUGUUGCGGAAUUAGAAAAUUAUAGAUUGAAAAAAUUACUAAUAUUGCUGAUUAGUUGCUUGCGGAAUAAGAAUUUGGUUGCCGGUAUCGAAAAACCAAAGAAAGAAAAAUGAGAAUUAGUGAAUUUGUGAGAAAUAAAAGAGAGGAGAGAGGCUUAUUUAUAGAUCCGGAUGAGGCCUUUUAUAACGCACCACGUGUUCUAGGAAGCUUCCCCGGCUACUUUCCAACGUUCAACUAACGGCCGUUUGAAUAUAAUCGUUGGAUCUGCAAGUUAAAAAUCGGUAUAUCUCAACAACUUGAAUUAUUAAAAAAGAAUUCAGAUCGAGGAAAUAGAAAUUUUCUAAAACGUCAACUUAGGUGGAGGAAGUAGCCAAGUAGGAGUAGGUGAUGAAAUAUAUAAAAGGUCAACAAAGGGUAAGUUAAAAUUUUAUCAAAAAAAAAACAAAGGGUAAGUUAAAUACGCUUUCGCAAACACAUAAUUAUAAAAGAAAAUUAAAUCAGUGGAAAGAUCAAACAAAAUCUCGCUUGAACCUGGUGCAGUACUGAUGACCAACCACCACCAUAUCAUACAUAUACACAAAGCAUAUGAUCUCUCUAUAGCUUGCUACUUAACAACAUCAUAUAUAUACAUGGAAAUGAAAUCAGUAACCCAAAUCAACAAACCAUACACAGUAAAUUAAACCAACCAAUUAAUUAAGGAACGUACAACCAGAAGAUAGCAGACAGACAGAGAUGAUUACACUAAUUGCUUAUCAGUUUGAUUCAGGGUUCGGCCCGCUAGGCACUUCAUGUUCCCCAGCUCUGAACGCUCGAUUCGAAGUGCUGUUUCCGGUAGAUGCAUCAGCUUCUGCUGGUAAGUCGUUGGUGCUGGUUUCCUGUGGAACAUUAACAGAAGUACUACUAGUGGUGGCCGACGGCAGAUGAUGAUAGUGAUCAUCAUCUUUCUCAGUGACAAGGACAAGGGAAGGAAGGAGUAUGAGGAGAGCAAGAAGGAGGAGGAGUAAAAGAGGUCUUGAUGAUGAGGAUUCACCAUAAGCCAUGGGAUCUUUUAUUAGGAUUCUGAAAACUGCUAUACGUACUAGUAGCACUAGUAGUUAGUAGUGGUAGCAGUAGUAAUAAAAAAGAAAGCUGUAACCGCCCACCCCCCAAAUGUCCCACGGGGGAUCAAUAUCCAUGAACAAACUGAAAGCCGCUUAAUUAUUAGCUGCACCCACAGACAGACCCCAGAAACACCUACAGCUGGCUAGCCUGAAUAGUGAAAGAAAGAGGAAGCAAGAAGAAGAAGAAGAAGAAGAAGAAGAAUAAAGAGAGAGGAAAGGAAGGGCAGAUUUAUUAUUAUGAAACUCAAAGCCAAAGGUGUGUAAAACUAAAACCUCCCGUACGUAGGUUGUUACUUUUGAGUAUAAAAAGAACUAUAUUGAGAUGACAAAAUUACCCUUUGGUGAGGGUUAAGCUACUAAGCUAGAAAGAGGCAAACCAGAAUUCUAUGCAACUGUGUACAGGCAGAGCGAAAUGUAGGUUGAGAAGAGAAGGGUAGCUAAAAGGUAGUAAUAAUGGGUGAAUAAUGGGGAUUUCGACAGAAAGUGACAAAGAAGAAGAGCGAGUGGGGUUCCC
rnacentral:lncRNA from 1 species